AGAAUCACCCAAGGUCAUCAGUUCUGCUAGUCACAUGUUAUCAGAAGCAGAAAGAUCUUACUCUGUGUCAGAAACGGAAGUUUAGCUGUAACAUGGGCAUUUGAAAAGUCUGAAUAUUAUUUGUGGGGCAUGAACACUAUAAAGUUUACUGUGACCAUCAGUCACAGUCAUUUCUUUUAAUAUGUAAAUUAUUGCACCGUAGAUUAGCUAGGUGGUGUCUAUAUUUACAAGAAUUAAAUUUUGAGAUCAUUUAUAUUAAAUGAAGUCAGAAUGCUAUUACAGCUGCCUUGUCCAGGUUACCACAAGGUUUGGAUGAAUUUGGUGAAUUAACAGAGCAAGAUAUAGAAUUCAGAAGGUACAUUACAACAGUCUGAUUACCAUAAGUUUCGUAAGCAAAUGAAAGUUAUAAAACAGCAAGAUUGCAGAUGGAGGAAAUUCAUGCAAAACCUUAAGCAGGAUGAAGGUGGAAAUUGAUUACAGAAAUUACACCAUGCCAAGAAAUAAACAAUGCUUAUAAAUCACUAGAAUUUACUCACAUUAAAAAUUUACCUGCUUUUUACAUACAAGAGUAAAAAGGAGAGAGAAAAAAUAUGGAAUGUGUGGAAUGGUCUCAUAGUUCAUCAGUGUGGUAUCUUGACUUGUUGCAAAUCCCUAAGGAUGCUGUUUCCUGAGGGGAAUGUGCCAAAUGUGAUGUAGGAGAAGAAGUGAGGGAGACAGUAAAUUCCUCUGUGGUAGAAUAUAGGAUUGGGGCUGGUGGUGAUACAACAAGAACCAGUUGUAUUAAUUAAAUGAAAAUGACAGUAUCCUGGUCCACUCACGACAUAAAAUAUCUGCUUUACAGCAAUUGCACAGCCAAGUAAAUGGAAUUUAAUGAAGGUCAAAGUCUACUUAACAAUCUCACAACUACAGGAAAGAGAGUUAGUUGUGAAACUCUGAAAAAGAGAAAACAAUGUUCAUGUAACGAAACCCUUAAGAGUACAUCAGGUAACCUGUUGUAUAAUCUUAAUUCUCUCUUUUUGCCUAAAGGUAUUUGGCUACAGUAGACUGUGGUGAUAGAAGACAAUCAUUGUAGUACUCAUUAUAAUGGUAGCAUACUUGUCAUGAUACCAGAAUGUACAAAAAAUUGUAGAACUGAAAAGCUGGUAUCUCAAAAAACACUAUGUGAGUUUACACACUGCCACAUUACACACUACAAUUCAGUGUCCUCUA